GACGAACGCUGGCGGCGUGCCUAAUGCAUGCAAGUUGAGCGAUGAAGAUUGGUGCUUGCACCCAUUUGAAGAGCAGCGAACGGGUGAGUAACGCGUGGGGAAUCUGCCUUUGAGCGGGGGACAACAUUUGGAAACGAAUGCUAAUACCGCAUAACAACUUUAAACAUAAGUUUUAAGUUUGAAAGAUGCAAUUGCAUCACUCAAAGAUGAUCCCGCGUUGUAUUAGCUAGUUGGUGAGGUAAAGGCUCACCAAGGCGAUGAUACAUAGCCGACCUGAGAGGGUGAUCGGCCACAUUGGGACUGAGACACGGCCCAAACUCCUACGGGAGGCAGCAGUAGGGAAUCUUCGGCAAUAGACGAAAGUCUGACCGAGCAACGCCGCGUGAGUGAAGAAGGUUUUCGGAUCGUAAAACUCUGUUGGUAGAGAAGAACGUUGGUGAGAGUGGAAAGCUCAUCAAGUGACGGUAACUACCCAGAAAGGGACGGCUAACUACGUG
rnacentral:rRNA from 1 species